GUGCCAGCAGCCGCGGUAAUACGUAGGGGGCAAGCGUUGUCCGGAUUUAUUGGGCGUAAAGAGCGUGUAGGCGGCCGAGCAGGUCCGUUGUGAAAACUGAAGGCUCAACCUUCAGAGGUCGAUGGAAACCGCUCGGCUAGAGUCCGGAAGAGGAGAGUGGAAUUCCUGGUGUAGCGGUGAAAUGCGCAGAUAUCAGGAAGAACACCCGUGGCGAAAGCGGCUCUCUGGGACGGUACUGACGCUGAGACGCGAAAGCGUGGGGAGCGAACAGGAUUAGAUACCCUGGUAGUCCACGCCGUACACGAUGGGUGCUAGGUGUUCGGGGUAUUGACCCCCUGAGUGCCGCAGCUAACGCAUUAAGUGCCCCGCCUGGGGACUACGGCCGCAAGGCUAAAACUCAAAUGAAUUGACGG
rnacentral:rRNA from 1 species